CCCUUAGAUGUCCGGGGCCGCACGCGCGCUACAAUGGAUGAAUCAACGCGUCAUCCUGGCCCGAAAGGGUUGGGGAACCGCUGAACCUCAUCCGUGGUUGGGAUUGGGGUUUGUAAUUAUUCCCCAUGAACUAGGAAUUCCCAGUAAGCGCGAGUCAUAAGCUCGCGUUGAUUACGUCCCUGCCCUUUGUACACACCGCCCGUCGCUACUACCGAUUGGAUGGUUUAGUGAGAUCCUCGGAUUGGUCACGGCACGGUGGCAACACUGCGUCGGUGUGCCGAGAAGACGAUCAAACUUGAUCAUAUAGAGGAAGUAAAAGUCGUAACA
rnacentral:rRNA from 1 species